rnacentral:rRNA from 1 species
UACGAAGGGUGCAAACGUUGCUCGGAAUCAUUGGGCGUAAAGCGCACGUAGGCGGCCUUGUAAGUCGGACGUGAAAUCCCACGGCUCAACCGUGGAAGUGCAUCCGAAACUGCGAGGCUCGAGUAUGGAAGAGGGUCGCAGAAUUCCCGGUGUAGAGGUGAAAUUCGUAGAUAUCGGGAGGAAUACCAGUGGCGAAGGCGGCGACCUGGGCCAAUACUGACGCUGAGGUGCGAAAGCUAGGGUAGCGAACGGG